ACUCCUACGGGAGGCAGCAGUGGGGAAUAUUGCACAAUGGGCGCAAGCCUGAUGCAGCCAUGCCGCGUGUGGUGAAGAAGGCCUUCGGGUUGUAAAGCCACUUUCAGUUCGUGAGGAAGGUAGUGUAGUUAAUAGCUGCAUUAUUUGACGUUAGCGGAACCAGAAGAAGCACCGGCUAACUCCGUGCCAGCAGCCGCGGUAAUACGGAGGGUGCGAGCGUUAAUCGGAAUUACUGGGCGUAAAGCGCAUGCAGGUUGGUUUUGUUAAGUCAGAUGUGAAAGCCCGGGGCUCAACCUCGGAA
rnacentral:rRNA from 1 species